rnacentral:lncRNA from 1 species
AGCAGUUCUCUUGCCUCAGCCUCCCAAGUAACUGGUACUACAGUUUGUCCUCGGCUGUUACAGAGAAUUGAUACAAAAAAUGAUCAUGUGAAGAAUUUGCAUCUUCUGCAGAACUACCGGUAUCAGUCAGCAGUAGGAGAUUGUAUAAAUUCAGCCUGAGAUUCCAGAAUAUUCUGUGUAUUGACCACCACAGCAAGAAGAAAAAGUCCAUGUAGGACUGAAAUCAUAUGCUGAGCCCUUUCCCAGUGUUGGGAGCAUAUCAAGAUAUUGACACAGUUCCUGUCCUUAAGCCCUGCAGGAUUUAGGGAGUUGGUUCUGACUAACCAUUACAUCCCAAUAUUAGGUUGGCAGCAGUGGAAGUCAUACAUUGAUGCAAAAGGUGCUGGCACCAAGAAAAUGCAUACACCCUGUGGGCAGCUCACUUUGAAGAGAGAGAGGAGAAGAAAGGGCUGGGCUGCCCCUACUCAAGCUCUUCUUCCAAAAGCAGUACUCAGAUGGGUCACUCCAUAAUUCCCAGGGUCCAGUCAGGGAGCGGUGGGGAGAGGCUGGAGUGGCCUACUAAGGGAGAGCCCUGUUAACAGAGCCUCCUACACAAGGAAGAAUCACUAGGAGAGGGGAAGGAACGUGCGAGGCCCCUGCCAACUCCUCUUCCAUACUCGUUCGUUUGCGCAUUCAACACACUUUUGAGCACCUUCUUUUCCUCUGUGCUCUGUGACAGGAAUUCAAACAUGAAACUAGAUGUGGCCUUGGCUUUCAGAGAAGUCAUUCCCUUAGUAGUGAAUACUAGUUCCCUGAAGUUUAACAUUGGAGGAGAAGGAGUUAUUAAACACCCAUUCUAAGCAAGAACAUCAGUAGCCUACAAAGGGCCUUUUUUCACACUUUGAGUCUGUUGAAGAAAACUCACAGUUGGUAUCACUUGCUUUAAAAGUGCCCCCCACUCUGCCUUGUACGGUCCGGAUUGCUGUGAGGCCAUGACAAGGAACCAAGUUCUGUUUUUCUGUGAAGAGAAUGGAAUAAUCAUUUACCUCUUUCCUGUGGCUGCCAGCUGGUCCCUUCACUCAGUCACUCCCUGUUUCUCCUUCCUCCCUUUCCUCUCCCCUUCCAGUACACAGAAUCCCUUCUCCAUAUCCCCCCAUGAUGAAGGACCACCAGUCAUUGGCUCACCUCUCUUCCAAAAUUCCAAUGACUAGAGUCUUUCUCAGAGUAUGUAUAACUGAUGUCACAGACCCCUGAGUCUGGAAGAGUCUAAGUAAAAGUGGGUGUUGACCUGAAUGUAAGUUA